GGGCUACAGUCUAUGGGGUUGCAAAGAGUCAGACAUGACUUAGGGGCUACACAACAACAACAGCAACAGAAGAUUCGCCAAGACAACAGUAAUAAAAGCUGGCAACAUAUAGCCUACCUGGAGAGAAAACUCAACAUGAAUAGAGGAAAAGGAAGACGUUGGCAAGCUUUGGACGAAUCUAGUUCACAUUGUAAAUGGAUCCCUCUGGCUGCUGGAGAUAAGAAUAUUGCAGAAGGAAAGAAAUCAGCUGUGAAACUAGUGCAACCAUCCAGAUAGAAAAGAUGGUCUCAUGUCUUUCAGAAUUUUUUUUUUUACUUCCAAAGUAUUCUUCCAUUACCUAUGUUAGAUAUUAUGCUUAUAUUGAGGAGAUAUUUGUUUAUUAUAUACUUUCUAUUUUGCUAUUGUUGUUAUAUGGAAAUGCCCAUAAAAUUUUAUAAAUGUU